AGUGAACGCUGGCGGUAGGCCUAACACAUGCAAGUCGAACGGCAGCACAGUAAGAGCUUGCUCUUACGGGUGGCGAGUGGCGGACGGGUGAGGAAUACAUCGGAAUCUACUUUUUCGUGGGGGAUAACGUAGGGAAACUUACGCUAAUACCGCAUACGACCUACGGGUGAAAGCAGGGGAUCUUCGGACCUUGCGCGAUUGAAUGAGCCGAUGUCGGAUUAGCUAGUUGGCGGGGUAAAGGCCCACCAAGGCGACGAUCCGUAGCUGGUCUGAGAGGAUGAUCAGCCACACUGGAGCUGAGACACGGUCCAGACUCCUACGGGAGGCAGCAGUGGGGAAUAUUGGACAAUGGGCGCAAGCCUGAUCCAGCCAUACCGCGUGGGUGAAGAAGGCCUUCGGGUUGUAAAGCCCUUUUGUUGGGAAAGAAAAGCAGCAGGUUAAUACCCCGCUGCUCUGACGGUACCCAAAGAAUAAGCACCGGCCAACUUCGUG
rnacentral:rRNA from 1 species